ACCGGCAGCUCAAGUGGUGGCCAUUUUUAUUGGGCCUAAAGCGUUCGUAGCCGGUUUGAUAAGUCUCUGGUGAAAUCCCGCAGCUUAACUGUGGGACUUGCUGGAGAUACUAUUAGACUUGAGGUCGGGAGAGGUUAGGGGUACUCCCAGGAUAGGGGGGAAAGCCGGUAACCCGGUGAGGACCACCGUUGGCGAGGGCGCCGAACCGGAGCGAAUCGGCCGGUGGGUAGCGAUAGCCAGGAGCGUCCACCU
rnacentral:rRNA from 1 species